rnacentral:rRNA from 1 species
AUUGAACGCUGGCGGCAGGCCUAACACAUGCAAGUCGAACGGGGAAAGCUUUCGGGUGAGUACUAGUGGCGCACGGGUGAGUAACGCGUGGAUAAUCUGCCUUAGAGUGGGGGAUAACUAGUCGAAAGAUUAGCUAAUACCGCAUAAGACCACAAGAACUGCGGUUCAAGAGGUCAAAGGUUUUUCGCUCUAAGAUGAGUCCGCGUAAGAUUAGCUAGUUGGUGGGGUAACGGCUCACCAAGGCAACGAUCUUUAACUGGUCUGAGAGGAUGAUCAGUCACACUGGAACUGAGAGACGGUCCAGACUCCUACGGGAGGCAGCAGUAGGGAAUAGUGCAAAAUGGAGGAAACUCUGAUGCAGCGACGCCGCGUGAGUGAUGAAGGCCUUCGGGUCGUAAAGCCCUGUCGCAGGGGAAUAACACAAUGAAUGUACCCUGUAAGAAAGGAUCGGCUAACUUCGUGCCAGCCGCCGCUGUAAGAC